AACGAACGCUGGCGGCAGGCUUAACACAUGCAAGUCGAACGGUUGUAGCAAUACAGCAGUGGCAGACGGGUGAGUAACACGUGGGAACCUUCCUAGGGGUACGGAACAACUCAGGGAAACUUGAGCUAAUACCGUAUACGUCCGUGAGGAGAAAGAUUUAUCGCCCUUAGACGGGCCCGCGUCGGAUUAGCUAGUUGGUGGGGUAACGGCCUACCAAGGCGACGAUCCGUAGCUGAUCUUAGAGGAUGAUCAGCCACACUGGGACUGAGACUCGGCCCAGACUCCUACGGGAGGCAGCAGUGGGGAAUCUUGGACAAUGGGUGCAAGCCUGAUCCAGCCAUGCCGCGUGAGUGAAGAAGGUCUUCGGAUUGUAAAGCUCUUUUGCCAGGGACGAUAAUGACGGUACCUGGAGAAUAAGCCCCGGCAAACUUCGUGCCAGCCGCCGCAGUAA
rnacentral:rRNA from 1 species